rnacentral:ncRNA from 5 species
GUUGACCUCGGAUCAGGUAGGAAUACC